UAAUUUCGUUAUGUAUGGACAUAUAGUGUUGUACGAUAGUACUAUUUAAUUUAGAUGUGUGUGAUUGUAUUGCAUUAUUUUGAUCUUACAUGGUAGGUAUGGCCGGGGUUACUCCUGCGUUGCUGGACCCAACAAUAGACUCGGGUCACCGGUCCUUUUUUACUGUGGUUCAGCACCAACAACUCAACGUGCUGCAUCCAUGUCUACCUGCAGAGUUGAUUCCUGUAGACCCACGUUGGCUGCCCAGAUGAUAUGUCGUCUAUUUUCUGUUUUCGUCCGUUAUACAUUUCGUUAUAUAAUGUACUAACGUUUGUGCACUAUACGAUGCAGGCUGAGCGAGGCAGGUCUUCUUACUGUGGCUCGUCUUGCUGAGAGUGCCUUGAUGAAGCUAGAUAGGUCUUUACUUUCAGCUAUCGUUGACAGAUGGAGACCUGAGACACACACAUUCCAUCUCCUGCAGGACGUUGCGAUGCUGCUUGGCCUUCCUAUCGCCGGGGACGCUGUCGGGCCCCGCGUGGUCCCUUCUACGUGGUUGGAGGACCUUGUGCAACGUUUUGCAGGUGUUGCCACCACGAUUGAUCCUGAAGACUUCAAUGAGCACCCAUAGUCGAAAGGCCAUUCGAAGUCAUGGCUCCUACAGUUCCAGCCGGACCUGUUGGCAGCCGAUGCUGAUGACUACUGCGUGACUAGAUCACUCGAGGCAUACCUGUUGUGGUUGUUUGGGUACAUUAUGUUCAACAACUCACACGACCACUGUGUGGAUAGGGUGCUUGUGUCCUACGCACAGGAGAUCGCCGAUGCAGAUGAGGAUGCCAUACCCUUAUAUAGUUGGGGUUCAGCGGUUCUUGCAUUCACAUAUCGUGGACUCUGCAAGACAUCACGGCAGAAUGAUAGCAAUGCUGUCCUAACUGAGUGCCCAAUUCUACUACAGCUUUGGUCUUACGAGAGGAUUGCUAUCGGUCGUCCCAUGAUUGACCAGUCACCAUACAAGCUGGAUAUGUACGGUGACACGGAGGACGACAGGCUCACCAUGGGGACUCUCUGGUACUCUCGACAGAAAACAUGGGCACAUGUACAGACCCGGCGGUCUUAUCCUGAGUUUGUUGCGGCAUUUGAUCGAUUGACCCCAGAAGAUAUUGUGUGGGAGCCAUACAGACCUUCGGCUAUAGCCACACGUGCACCGCUUGGGAUAUCUUCGGUUUGCACACAUGAUGUGAAAUCACGGAAAAAUUUACUAAAUAAAAC